GAUGAACGCUGGCGGUGUGCCUAAUACAUGCAAGUCGAGCGAACGGACGAGAAGCUUGCUUCUCUGAUGUUAGCGGCGGACGGGUGAGUAACACGUGGAUAACCUACCUAUAAGACUGGGAUAACUUCGGGAAACCGGAGCUAAUACCGGAUAAUAUUUUGAACCGCAUGGUUCAAAAGUGAAAGACGGUCUUGCUGUCACUUAUAGAUGGAUCCGCGCUGCAUUAGCUAGUUGGUAAGGUAACGGCUUACCAAGGCAACGAUGCAUAGCCGACCUGAGAGGGUGAUCGGCCACACUGGAACUGAGACGCGGUCCAGACUCCUACGGGAGGCAGCAGUAGGGAAUCUUCCGCAAUGGGCGAAAGCCUGGCGGAGCAACGCCGCGUGAGUGAUGAAGGUCUUCGGAUCGUAAAACUCUGUUAUUAGGGAAGAACAUAUGUGUAAGUAACUGUGCACAUCUUGACGGUACCUAAUCAGAAAGCCACGGCUAACUACGUGCCAGCAGCCGCGGUAAUACGUAGGUGGCAAGCGUUAUCCGGAAUUAUUGGGCGUAAAGCGCGCGUAGGCGGUUUUUUAAGUCUGAUGUGAAAGCCCACGGCUCAACCGUGGAGGGUCAUUGGAAACUGGAAAACUUGAGUGCAGAAGAGGAAAGUGGAAUUCCAUGUGUAGCGGUGAAAUGCGCAGAGAUAUGGAGGAACACCAGUGGCGAAGGCGACUUUCUGGUCUGUAACUGACGCUGAUGUGCGAAAGCGUGGGGAUCAAACAGGAUUAGAUACCCUGGUAGUCCACGCCGUAAACGAUGAGUGCUAAGUGUUAGGGGGUUUCCGCCCCUUAGUGCUGCAGCUAACGCAUUAAGCACUCCGCCUGGGGAGUACGACCGCAAGGUUGAAACUCAAAGGAAUUGACGGGGACCCGCACAAGCGGUGGAGCAUGUGGUUUAAUUCGAAGCAACGCGAAGAACCUUACCAAAUCUUGACAUCCUUUGACAACUCUAGAGAUAGAGCCUUCCCCUUCGGGGGACAAAGUGACAGGUGGUGCAUGGUUGUCGUCAGCUCGUGUCGUGAGAUGUUGGGUUAAGUCCCGCAACGAGCGCAACCCUUAAGCUUAGUUGCCAUCAUUAAGUUGGGCACUCUAAGUUGACUGCCGGUGACAAACCGGAGGAAGGUGGGGAUGACGUCAAAUCAUCAUGCCCCUUAUGAUUUGGGCUACACACGUGCUACAAUGGACAAUACAAAGGGCAGCGAAACCGCGAGGUCAAGCAAAUCCCAUAAAGUUGUUCUCAGUUCGGAUUGUAGUCUGCAACUCGACUACAUGAAGCUGGAAUCGCUAGUAAUCGUAGAUCAGCAUGCUACGGUGAAUACGUUCCCGGGUCU
rnacentral:rRNA from 1 species